GGCGUUAAGUUGCAGGGUAUAGACCCGAAACCCGGUGAUCUAGCCAUGGGCAGGUUGAAGGUUGGGUAACACUAACUGGAGGACCGAACCGACUAAUGUUGAAAAAUUAGCGGAUGACCUGUGGCUGGGGGUGAAAGGCCAAUCAAACCGGGAGAUAGCUGGUUCUCCCCGAAAGCUAUUUAGGUAGCGCCUCGUGAAUUCAUCUCCGGGGGUAGAGCACUGUUUCGGCUAGGGGGCCAUCCCGGCUUACCAACCCGAUGCAAACUGCGAAUACCGGAGAAUGUUAUCACGGGAGACACACGGCGGGUGCUAACGUCCGUCGUGAAGAGGGAAACAACCCAGACCGCCAGCUAAGGUCCCAAAGUCAUGGUUAAGUGGGAAACGAUGUGGGAAGGCCCAGACAGCCAGGAUGUUGGCUUAGAAGCAGCCAUCAUUUAAAGAAAGCGUAAUAGCUCACUGGUCGAGUCGGCCUGCGCGGAAGAUGUAACGGGGCUAAACCAUGCACCGAAGCUGCGGCAGCGAACGUAUCACUUAAAGCGAUUCAGCGGGUUACGAUUGACGGAGCGAAGC
rnacentral:rRNA from 1 species